rnacentral:rRNA from 1 species
GACAGAGGUGCCGAGCGUUAGGCGGAAUCACUGGGCUUAAAGCGUGUGUAGGCGGACUUCUAAGUACCUUGUGAAAUCCCACGGCUCAACCGUGGAACUGCUCGGUAUACUGGUCGUCUUGAGCCACCUAGGGGCGAGCGGAACAAGCGGUGGGGCGGUGAAAUGCGUAGAUAUCGCUUGGAACGCCAACGGUGAAAACAGCUCGCUGGGGGUGUGCUGACGCUGAGACACGAAAGCCAGGGGAGCGAACGGG